rnacentral:rRNA from 1 species
UACGAAGGGGGCUAGCGUUGUUCGGAAUCACUGGGCGUAAAGGGCGCGUAGGCGGCUUUAUAAGUCGGGGGUGAAAGCCUGUGGCUCAACCACAGAAUUGCCUUCGAUACUGUAGAGCUUGAGACCGGAAGAGGUAAGUGGAACUGCGAGUGUAGAGGUGAAAUUCGUAGAUAUUCGCAAGAACACCAGUGGCGAAGGCGGCUUACUGGUC